rnacentral:rRNA from 1 species
UACGAAGGGUGCAAGCGUUACUCGGAAUUACUGGGCGUAAAGCGUGCGUAGGUGGUCUGUUAAGUCUGAUGUGAAAGCCCUGGGCUCAACCUGGGAAUUGCAUUGGAUACUGGCAGACGUAGGAGUGCGGGAGAGGAAAGUGGAAUUCCGUGGUGUAGCGGUGAAAUGCGUAGAUAGUCAGGAGGAACACCGGUGGUGUAGACGGCUUCUGGACCGU